GUUGCUUGGCAACCAUGCAGAAGUAGUUGGCUAGUGCAGUUUGGCUAUUGCUGUUUUCAAUGAAAUAUUAAAACUUCCCUAUACAAUGGACUACUAUUGGAUUUCUUUGUGAUUCUCCGAUCUAAGCAGAGGGAAGAACGAAAGGAGAGAGAGAAACCAUAACAUCAGAACUGUGGAGCUGAAAGGGAUCACAAAGUUCAUCUUGUCCCAUCAUCUACGGUGUUCAGGCUAUCCAGUGUCUUCUUAGAAUUCUCCAAUGAUGGAGAACCCACAACUUCUGUAAGUGCUGUCCCACUGCCGUAUGGACCUUACUUGUCUUUAAACUAUGUAUUUGCAACAUAAACCCAUUAUUUGCU